UGCUAGCAAUCUAUCGUGGUUAUGUAUUGUCCUCCACCACGCUGGUAUGCUGACAGU
rnacentral:pre_miRNA from 1 species